rnacentral:tRNA from 1 species
CAACAAAUAGUUUAUGAAAAUAUGAUUUUUGGGUAAUUAAGAUAGGUUAAAUUUCUUUUGUUGA